CCAGGAUCGGGCAGCUAGCGUGGGACCAGCAACAGGCCCAAGCAGGCCGCCGGCAAGCAGAGUGGAGGCAGGUGUGCAGGAGCCUGUUACCAGCUGCCAGCCAUCAGCCUCAUUAUGCUCUGCCUCUUAUACCGGGUCCUUGCCUCCCCUCAGCGCCAGAUCAUAGACACAUGUUACCGAUCUCCCCACCUGGGCCAGCUCUUGCAACUACUUCACUCCUGCUCAUGCACACCCGGGAAUGGGGAGUCAUACCCUGCGGACUUCCCCCUUCCUGGAUUAUUAUGCUGCCCCUGGACCACCCACUCCCUGAACCCAGCAUCUCACAUCCAGUAUAUUGUUAAUAAAACCCUGUUUCGAUUCACCAA